rnacentral:rRNA from 1 species
ACUCCGAUCCCAUCCCGAACUCGGUUGUUAAAU